rnacentral:rRNA from 1 species
UACGUAGGGUGCAAGCGUUGUCCGGAAUUAUUGGGCGUAAAGAGCUCGUAGGCGGUUCGUCGCGUCGGCUGUGAAAUCCCUGGGCUCAACCCAGGAACUGCGUCCGAUACUGGUUGGCUUGAAUCCGGGAGAGGGAUGUGGAAUUCCAGGUGUAGCGGUGAAAUGCGUAGAUAUCUGGAGGAACACCGGUGGCGAAGGCGACAUCCUGGACCGGUAUUGACGCUGAGGCGCGAAAGCCAGGGGAGCAAACGGG